rnacentral:rRNA from 1 species
UGGGGAAUAUUGGACAAUGGGCGAAAGCCUGAUCCAGCCAUGCCGCGUGUGUGAAGAAGGUCUUCGGAUUGUAAAGCACUUUAAGUUGGGAGGAAGGGCAGUAAGCGAAUACCUUGCUGUUUUGACGUUACCGACAGAAUAAGCACCGGCUAACUCUGUGCCAGCAGCCGCGGUAAUACAGAGGGUGCAAGCGUUAAGCGGAAUUACUGGGCGUAAAGCGCGCGUAGGUGGUUCGUUAAGUUGAAUGUGAAAGCCCCGGGCUCAACCGGGGAACUGCAUCCAAAACUGGCGGGCUAGAGUAGGGCAGAGGGUGGUGGAAUUUCCUGUGUAGCGGUGAAAUGUGUAGAUGUAGGAAGGAACACCAGUGGCGAAGGCGACCACCUGGGCUCAUACUGACACUGAGGUGCGAAAGCGUGGGGAGCAAACAGG